GGUCUGGUGGCCUAGUGGUUAGAGUUUCCACCUCGGAUGCGGAAGGUCGAGGGUUCGAAACCCGACCGUGUCA